rnacentral:rRNA from 1 species
CCUACGGGAGGCAGCAGUGGGGAAUAUUGCACAAUGGGGGAAACCCUGAUGCAGCGACGCCGCGUGAGUGAAGAAGUAUUUCGGUAUGUAAAGCUCUGUCAGCAGGGAAGAAAAUGACGGUACCUGACCAAGAAGCCCCGGCUAACUACGUGCCAGCAGCCGCGGUAAUACGUAGGGGGCAAGCGUUAUCCGGAUUUACUGGGUGUAAAGGGAGCGUAGACGGCAGGGCAAGUCUGGAGUGAAAGCCCGGGGCCCAACCCCGGGACUGCUCUUGGAACUGCGUGGCUGGAGUGCAGGCGGGGCAG